GACGAACGCUGGCGGCGUGCUUAACACAUGCAAGUCGAAUGGAAAGGCCCUGCUUUUGUGGGGUGCUCGAGUGGCGAAAGGGUGAGUAACACGUGAGUAACCUGCCCUUGACUUUGGGAUAACUUCAGGAAACUGGGGCUAAUACCGGAUAGGAGCUCCUGCUGCAUGGUGGGGGUUGGAAAGUUUCGGCGGUUGGGGAUGGACUCGCGGCUUAUCCGCUUGUUGGUGGGGUAGUGGCUUACCAAGGCGUUGACGGGUAGCCGGCUGGAGAGGGUGACCGGCCACAUUGGGACUAAGAUACGGCCCAGACUCCUACGGGAGGCAGCAGUGGGGAAUAUUGCACAAUGGGCGGAAGCCUGAUGCAGCAACGCCGCGUGCGGGAUGACGGCCUUCGGGUUAUAAACCGCUUUCGCCUGUGACGAAGCGUGAGUGACGGUAAUGGGUAAAGAAGCACCGGCUAACUACGUG
rnacentral:rRNA from 1 species